CAGAACGGGUUCGACGGUGAGGGACGAAAGCUGGGGGCACGAACCGGAUUAGAUACCCGGGUAGUCCCAGCUGUAAACUAUGCUCGCUAGGUGUCAGGCACGGUGCGACCGUGUUUGGUGCCGCAGGGAAGCCGUGAAGCGAGCCACCUGGGAAGUACGGCCGCAAGGCUGAAACUUAAAGGAAUUGGCGGGGGAGCACAACAACGGGUGGAGCCUGCGGUUUAAUUGGACUCAACGCCGGAAAACUCACCGGGGGCGACAGCAAUAUGUAGGCCAGGCUAAAGACCUUACCUGAAUCGCUGAGAGGAGGUGCAUGGCCGUCGCCAGUUCGUACUGUGAA
rnacentral:rRNA from 1 species